UACAGAGGUCUCGAGCGUUAGGCGGAAUCACUGGGCUUAAAGCGUGUGUAGGUGGAUCGUUAAGUACCUUGUGAAAUCCCACGGCUUAACCGUGGAACUGCUUGGUAUACUGGCGGUCUUGAGCCAGCUAGGGGCUACCGGAACAAAUGGUGGAGCGGUGAAAUGCGUAGAUAUCAUUUGGAACGCCAAUGGUGAAAACAGGUAGCUGGGGCUGUGGCUGACACUGGAGACACGAAAGCCAGGGGAGCAAACGGG
rnacentral:rRNA from 1 species